UUUGAAAAAGUAUUGACUUUUUUCAAAAUUUUUUUUUUUCAAAAUUGUAGAUUUAUGCUGUUCUAGAAUUGAAUAUUUUUUUUAUAUUUUUCACCCUUAUAUUUAUUAGGUAAACCACUAUCAACUUUUGAUUUUCAAAUGGUAACCUAUACUUAAAAUUUCAUAAUUUAAUAAAACUAUUUUUUUCAUUAAUUAUUACGUUCAAAUUUUCAUUUUUCGUUAAUCCGUUGAUGAGAUAUUGCUCCUCAAAGUUGGGUGGUUUUGGGAGGUAGUUGGGUGUGUGUACAGUAAAUGUGUUAUACCUCGUCAGUAAAUACCGCAGUUAUUAGGAUUUGUAUGCCCCGGGGCUAAAGAUAUUACAUUUUAAAAUCAAUUCAAGUAGGUGCAGUAAGGUUGAGUUGUGCCCCUAAAUGUAUUGUAUAAUAUCCAUUUGGCUGGGUGUCCGCCGUUCGCCCCACUAAAGGUGAUUUCGUCACUGGUCAUAAUAAUUCUUAUCGAUUAUAAAAACCAGAAGUUAAAAGUUUUAAAUCCUAUAUCGUUCGAACCCAAGGUAAUGAUAAUUGAUAACUUAUUGUCAUAAUGUCAUAUUUUAAGUAAUUGGACCAUUAGUGUCACUUGCGCAUACUCGCGUGUAAUUCCCUCGACCCCAUUAAAUACCUAUUAAGUAUGGAGUACCGACAAUUUGUGACAACGGACACAACGAUACGUGAUUGUUGUCUGAUUAGUGAUUAGACUGAUAUGCGCAUAUAUCUUAUAAUAUCUAUGGUGGAUUUGCGAUUAGGUAAUAACAGAUACUAGAUAGUACCUACUAUCAUCUACUAUGUUUAUAGUGCUCUGCGCUGAUAUCGUGGUUCCGUGGUUACAUGAUAUGGAAGUAUACCUAAUACUGGGUUAGCGUUAAUCACAUAACAAUCCGUUAGUAGACAAAUGGUUAAGAUAAUAACUCGGACCUAAUUUAAUCGUGACUCGUGGUCGUAGGUAUUUUAUUUUUGAAAUACCUAUUAGUUCUUGUAUAAUAUAAUAUAAUUAUUGUCUUAUUCACCACAUAUUGUAUUUUACGUAUUUUAUUUAAUAAUUUAAUACUUUAUCAAUCAUAUAAGUACCUAAAUUUACUUAUUACACUUGAAUUAGAUGCUUGGUGAUUACAUUUGUACAAUUUAUUGUUUAAUCAUUUAUACAUAAUACACUAUUUUUGUUCAAAUGUAUACCUAACCAAGGAACACUGGUACUUACUGGAUAAUACAUGAGUUGUUAUACAAUGAAGUGGCAUAAUAUGACAACACAGAAAUAUUGUGAUAAUAUUUCCAUAUUAUUUAAAAUUAGUCAUUACAAUACUCAGCUGGACACUGGGUUUUUCAUGAAAGUCUAUACCUACUCUACAAAUGUUAUAUCAAAAUCUCCACUUUUUAGUUCCUAAACUAAAAGUGAAUAGAAAAUUAUUUAUCUACAUAAUAUGUGAUGAUUCAAAAUCAGUUUCACAUAGGUAAUUUUACCUAAUUUAAAUAUGCCAUAAUGGAAUCAGCUACCUAUGACACACAAUUCAGAAGAUCCUGUAUGUUAAAAUUAUAUUCAUACUGCUAUGUUUAAUUACAUUUUAAAAUGGUAACUGUGAAAAAUAAAAAUAAUUUUUCACAUAUUGGAUUUAAAUAUUUCAACAGACUACAGAACAAAAUAAAAUAUUCAAGACAAUUGCAAAGAAGUGGGAAAAAUGUAGCUGGACUAAGUGCAUACAUAUUACAAAUGAUGUGUAUUGAAACUAAAAAUGUUGUGAAUGUUAAUGUUUUGUACUUUGUAUGAUAUUUUAAUUAAUUUAAAUGAGGUGACAACAUCAAUCAUUACAAAUCAAAAGAUAAAAUAAUGUAUGUUGUGUUUAAUACACACAAUAUAAUAUGUAGAUUGUGUAAAUCAAAUAAAGAAUUUAAAUAAAAAUAAAAUAGGUAUGUGAUUUAUAAUUAUUUUUCAGUUAUUACGUUAACAAUAGUAUAAAUGCUCAAUGUAAAGUAUUUAAAAAAAUAUAAAUGUAUUAUUAUUAAUAUACAUAUAUUUUUUUUAAUGAUAUUAGUAUUACAUUGUAUAAUGAUAAAUACUUAAUUACUUUUGUCAAUGAUUGGUGUUGUCAUUAAAUAAUAAUUAGUACUAAAUUCAAAUAAGAAUAUUAUUAACACCAUUUUUAAAUUUUACUAAGUCUGGGGUGAUUGAAAAGUUUGUUUUAAUUUUUUGAAUACAUGUUUUAUCUUUACUCAUAUUUUGCAUAACUGCAAAACGAACAUUUUGAUUAAACUGUAUCAUCAUUUUGAAAUAGAUUUUUCAUAGUCCUGGGCUUAUUAAAGUAAAAUUGUUUAAUGGUUCACGAUAAUAUCAGUAUAAAAUGUGAGAAAUUCGGUCGUGAACAGGGUUCAGGGCUAAACAGAACCUAAAAUCAUCAAAUCAAACAUUUAAAUAAUCAAAAUUAAGCAAUCUAAAAAAUGGUUAUUCUCUCCCUAGUUUUUGUUAGUGGUUAUCACUUGCAUCAUAUUAAAGUAGAAAAUAUACAUUAAAAAAUUUAAAAUGUGUUAAAAAGAACACUCUAAAAUGUGGGGUGCUAUAAUAUUUCAUAUUUUAAAAACAUUAAAUUGAUGGCAUUUCACUAUAAUAAUGAUAGUUAAAUCUAAAAAAACAAGGGGUGCUAAAUUAGAGCUUGGCGUGCUAAAGACCCUUCUGUGACAAUGGUCUCAAACCCUGUUCAUGACAUUGAGAAUAUGAUUUUUUUUAUAAUUAUUUAAGUUUAUUAGUGCCUUAUGUAUUUGCAUGUAUAUCAUUAUUAUUUAAAUACCUACCUAUUGAUUAAAUUCAUGUGAUUGGUCAAAAAGACCUAGUCCUACCAAGUAUAUUACAACUAUUGAAGUGACCUAUGGCGAAUUAUUUAUAUUAUACUAAUAUUUGAUUUGGAAUUGUAAAUGCAUUAAAUUGAAAUUGUAAACAUAAAAAAAAGUUGUUUAUACCUAAUAUUAAAUUAGUUCAGAGUUAUAUUUAUUAGGUAUUAUAUAAUGUUAACUUGUUGAAAAUAUUAUUUAAAUUUAUGUUGGUAUUGUAUUUCCAGAUUUGUAAUAAAUUGUAAUUUUAAUACCACUGUACAAUUAGUGUUAUAUUAUGUGUAAAAUUAAUUUUUAUCUUGAUUCUUCGGGACUAUAAAAAAAGUUAAAAUGUUAAAUUCUCACAGACCCUAGUGUUAUGUACUUGUCAAACUUCUUUAUUCGAUGUGCAUGUGCCUAAAUGAUAUUUUAUAUGUAUAAGAAGAGGUACAAUAUUUGAUUUGUUCAAAAAAAAAAAAUUAUUAUUAAAAAUAUUAAAUCCUCAUAGGUAUUCUGGUAUUUACAUGUUUAUAGUAUCCAUAUGGUAAACAGUAGAAAAUAUAAAUAUUAAAUGUAUAAUAAUAAUUAACACAUUAUUUUGUAUUAGUUAAAUCUACCAAAGCUAUACACAGUUAUAUGUAUAUUAUUAAAAUAUGUAUAAAAAAAAAAUUAAGUUAAUUUAUUGUUAAUAUUAUGGUCCAUUAUAUCAUAAUUUAUACAUUUAUUAUUAAUUGUUAUUGUAUACAUUUAUCAUUGAAAUACAGAUUUUUAAUAAUUUUAGAAGUUUUAUUAUCAGUAAUCUAGUUGUUGCAACUGUAGUACAGACUGUCUAAUUGAGUAACAAAAACAGGAUUUUAUUUGUGACAUAAAUUAACAGUAAGUUACUGCUACUAUUUAUUUUGUAAAUACACAUACUGG